rnacentral:tRNA from 2 species
GAGGUCUUAGCUUAAUUAAAGUGUCUGAGUUGCAUUCAGGAGAUGUGUUNUAGAAUUUCACAGAUCUUA